rnacentral:lncRNA from 1 species
UAACUAAAGCAUAGAAGGAAGGCUAAAAUAAGAAUUCAGAAACUAUAAACCGGCUCUCUUCUAGCUUACGACACAAACUAUGAGUGAGAAAAGGACAAAUGAUUCGCUCUUUGCUUCAUUUUUUCCGAGGUUGUCACAACAUGAAAUGUCAUUUGGACCUAUUGGACUCAUUUUAAUUCGGCCAAAUACAUAGUAACAUACAUAAGAAGAUUUUACUUAUAUUUACCGAACUAUUUGACACGGUCGCGUGAACUUUGUUUACGAGUGUCUUGUGUUCAGAUUGUUUUAAGUGAUAAUUUAACAAUAUUUUUCCAAAUAAAUGGAAAGAAACUUUUAUUUAUAUCAAAUAAUUGAGUGUCUCGACUCUGUGACAUUAUGUCUUGUGUGGUAUGGGGCUGCAGCUCACAUUCAGGAAGAAAAGAAAAUAGCCAACAACUUCUGUCGUUUCAUCGAUAUUAAAUCCAAAAGUGUCGACUGGAUUUACAUGAAAAGUCAGUUCAAGAAGACGAGAUGAAAAAUUUAAAAGAAAAGCUGAACAAGUCACGCCUCAAGAUCAAACGACUUAAUGAAAAAAAAAGUCAAUGUGACAGGGUGUCACAAAGACAGUUUCUAAACAAAUUGACACUGUUUAGAAAUUAAUAAAUUUGUAUUUAUUGUAAAUAUAAUGUACAUAAUUAAUAACGUGUAAAAUAAAUACUUGCUAAUGAACAGAUUUACGAUCUAAUUUAUAUUUCAUUUUACCUCCUGUUCUUAUUUACUCCUACUCCAACACUCCAGGUUGAUACGAACUGCGCCCAAUAAAGAAUGUAAUGAAUGUUAUAGAUUUGUGUAAGCGACUUAGAUAAAUCUUGACUAAACCUUCCUUUACAAAUACAAAUAUACUUUAUUGCACACAACAUACAAUACUUACAAGUUUUACACGAAAGAUACAGUACACCACCUACCUACCUUUUACUUUCCCUUUCUGUUCUCUUAUGAAUACUUGUAUGCCGUAUUUUUUUUAAGUAUAAUGCUAUAUCUAGUAGGUACGAGUAUGGUAAUCCUAGUAUUGAAACAGCUUGUAGCCCUAGUAAAGACCGCCAUUUUAUGUUUACAGAGUGGCACGUUUUUUCUGUAGGUAUUUCCAGUCCAUACUCUUUUCUAUGUCUAUGGCGUGAGCCCAUCGGGCCUCUUACCGUCUGUGCGGCUUAGACCCGGCGGUUCCAAUUUGCACGGCACGUCGAUCGACACCAGUGCACGGCGGAUGACAUCAUAAAUAAAUUCGAAUAUUACAAAAUACUUACCGAUGAAACGAUAACAGUUGGCUAUUUUCUUUCCUUCCUGAAUGUGAGCUGCAGCUCCAAACUAAUAUAAACCAGACAAUAUAAUCCAAAAAUGGUUAGAUACUUACCUAUCAGAGACAGAGUCUCCUUUCAUCAAGAAGAAGAUAAUUGCAUCCUACAAAAAGAAAUCUUGUAAAAAAAAUUUAUCGACAUUAAUUGUAAGUAAAUUUAAUUUUAUCGACAUAUUAGUAAAGUGAAACCCAACACUAGGCAAUGAAAAACUUGUGACAACCUACGAAAUUACGAAACAAUUUUUGUAUAUGCGUCUUUGUCUAACAUUACGCCGGUUCCGUAAGAUAAAGUAGAGCAGAAUUAUAGAGUUCUGUUGCUAUUUUAGCCUUCCUUCUAUGCUUUAGUUAUUGU